UCGAGCGUUCUGGGAGCAGUGAAGGGCCCGUGGCAAACGUUGGCCUGGAGCGACCAGAAGUUAGGAUGCCGGAAUGAGUACGCGCAAAUCUGGGUGAAAACCCCAGACACCGGAAACCCAAGGGUUCCUGCGCCAUGGCAAUCAGCGCAGGGUGAGGCGGAGCCUAAGGUGAGGCCCCAGAGGCGUAGCCGAUGGUCAACGGGUUGAAAGUCCCGUCCCGUCUUGCAGUGUUGAACCACAGAGGGACACUGGAACGAAGGAGGAGCGGCUUUGUGGAUGGCCGUCUAACUGUGUAGGGGCAACCCGAGACAGGAAUGCGAGGACUGCGGGGCAACCCAACGUUCAAGUCUUCUGGAGUCGACAGGCGAGAAAAGCUCUGUGCGGAGCUGCAAGAUGUCCGUACCGGAAACCGACACAGGUGGGUGAGGCGAGCAGCCUCAGGUGAACGAGUGAAACGUGGUCAAGGAACUCGGCAUAAUGAUCCCGUAACUUCGGAAGAAGGGAUGCCAGAGACGGUGUAGGGAACACCGAAGCUGUUUCUGGUCGCAGCGAAUCGGCCCAAGCGACUGUUUAGCAAAAACACAGGUGUGUGCCAAGCCGCACAAGGCGCCGUAUACACACUGACGCCUGCCCGGUGCCGGAAGGUUAAGGGGAGAGGUUAGCCGCAAGGCGAAGCUUUGAGCCGAAGCCCCGGUAAACGGCGGCCGUAACAAUAACGGUCCUAAGGUAGCGAAAUUCCUUGUCGGGUAAGUUCCGACCUGCACGAAUGGCGUAACGACUUGGGCACUGUCUCGACCACGUGCUCGGCGAAAUUGCAGUCUCGGUGAGGAUUCCGAGUCCCCGCGACAGGACAAAAAGACCCCAUGCACCUUUACUGUAGCUUGUCAUUGGUCGUUGCACAUCGCUGUGUAGCAUAGGUGGGAGUCGAUGAGCCCGGGGCGCUAGCUCCGGGGGAGACAUCAGUGAAAUACCACCCUGCGUCGUGCGACGCCCUCACCACGGCGGGAACACCCCGUCUGGGACCGUGGCAGGUGGGCAGUUUGACUGGGGCGGUCGCCUCCGAAACAGUAACGGAGGCGCGCGCAAGGUUGGCUCAGCGCGGACGGUACUCGCGCUUCUAGAGUGUAACGGCAGAAGCCAGCCUGACGGUGAGAUCGACGGAUCGAGCCGCCACGAAAGUGGGCCGUAGUGAUCCGGUAGCCCGGGGUGGAGCGGCUAUCGCGCAACGGAUAAAAGGUACGCUGGGGAUAACAGGCUUAUCGCGCCCGAGAGUUCACAUCGACGGCGCGGUUUGGCACCUCGAUGUCGGCUUAUCACAUCCUGGGGCUGGAGAAGGUCCCAAGGGUCCGGCUGUUCGCCGGUUAAAGUGGUACAUGAGCUGGGUUCAGAACGUCGUGAGACAGUUCGGUCUGUAUCCGUCGUGGGCGUUGGAGAGCUGAGGGGAGCGGACUCUAGUACGAGAGGACCGAGUCGGACGACCCGCUCGUGUCCCGGCUGUCCUGCCAAGGGCACCGCCGGGUAGCGAUGGUUGGCUGUGAUAACCGCUGAAAGCAUCUAAGUGGGAAGCACGCCCCAAGAUGAACUCUCCCGAGGCCUUGAGCCUCUUGAAGGGCCGGGGAAGACCACCCCGUCGAUAGGCCGCCCGUGGACGUCCCGCAAGGGAUUCCAAGCGCAGCGGUCCUAAUCGCCCGUACGGCUUGACU
rnacentral:rRNA from 1 species